AUCUCGGGGGUCUUGGCCCUCGAUCGCCCACCGCUUUGGGACUUCCCUGCGUUGUAAAAGUCACCGCGGAAAGACGAACUCGUGGGAACUACGAGUGAGUUCCCUGAAAAAGAUCUCUGCUUUGCUGCUGGGAAACAAGAAGACUGAUUUCCCACUUUUGGCUCCUAGAGGUGAAGAAUCUGAACUUUAUCUAAAUUCCAUGAGAAUAACAUUUUUUUUUCUUGAGGCCCUUAAUAUUUUGAAAAAAUAACAGAUGUGUCUGGCAUAGCCUUGAAUGCAGACGUGAUGGAGAUGCAGCAGCGGUCUUGAGAGCAUGGGGAAAAGGAUAACAUCUGCCCUCUAUCUUCAAGAUGCUAAAGUGAAGCCAGCAACGGCUAACCUCUCUGGCCUUCUUGUUAUGUGAGAAAAAUAAAAUCCUAUUCAUUUAA